rnacentral:rRNA from 1 species
UACGAAGGGUGCAAGCGUUACUCGGAAUUACUGGGCGUAAAGCGUGCGUAGGUGGUUUGUUAAGUCUGUUGUGAAAGCCCCGGGCUCAACCUGGGAAUUGCAUUGGAUACUGGCAGGCUAGAGUGCGGUAGAGGAUGGCGGAAUUCCCGGUGUAGCAGUGAAAUGCGUAGAGAUCGGGAGGAACAUCUGUGGCGAAGGCGGCCAUCUGGACCAGCACUGACACUGAGGCACGAAAGCGUGGGGAGCAAACAGG